CCAAGAAAGCCCUUCUUCGUGGACAUUUCUUGGGGCUACCCAUUCACAAGCAAGCAAGGCGAUUCCAUUGGACAGAGUGUAACAGUUUACCCGCAAGUGUUCGAAGGCCGGCAGGAGAACUCCGAAAAAGUAUUGGUGAUUGAAGGAUACUCUCUAAACCUAAAGAAAGCUUCUGUUCUCGCCGGCACAGUCCUCCUGCUAGAAGUAACAGAAAACGGCACUGCAGAAUAAUAUAUGAACA
rnacentral:lncRNA from 1 species